rnacentral:rRNA from 1 species
AUUGAACGCUGGCGGCAGGCUUAACACAUGCAAGUCGAGCGGGGUGAUGGUGCUUGCACUAUCACUUAGCGGCGGACGGGUGAGUAAUGCUUAGGAAUCUGCCUAUUAGUGGGGGACAACAUCUCGAAAGGGAUGCUAAUACCGCAUACGUCCUACGGGAGAAAGCAGGGGAUCACUUGUGACCUUGCGCUAAUAGAUGAGCCUAAGUGGGAUUAGCUAGUUGGUGGGGUAAAGGCCUACCAAGGCGACGAUCUGUAGCGGGUCUGAGAGGAGGAUCCGCCACACUGGGACUGAGACGCGGCCCAGACUCCUACGGGAGGCAGCAGUGGGGAAUAUUGGACAAUGGGGGGAACCCUGAUCCAGCCAUGCCGCGUGUGUGAAGAAGGCCUUAUGGUUGUAAAGCACUUUAAGCGAGGAGGAGGCUCUUUUGGUUAAUACCCAAGAUGAGUGGACGUUACUCGCAGAAUAAGCACCGGCUAACUCUGUGCCAGCCGCCGCGGUAA